UGGGGAAUAUUGGACAAUGGGCGAAAGCCUGAUCCAGCAAUGCCGCGUGAGUGAUGAAGGCCCUAGGGUUGUAAAGCUCUUUUACCAGGGAUGAUAAUGACAGUACCUGGAGAAUAAGCUCCGGCUAACUCCGUGCCAGCAGCCGCGGUAAUACGGAGGGAGCUAGCGUUGUUCGGAAUUACUGGGCGUAAAGCGUACGUAGGCGGUUAUUCAAGUCAGAGGUGAAAGCCCGGGGCUCAACCCCGGAACGGCCUUUGAAACUAGGUAGCUAGAAUCUUGGAGAGGUCAGUGGAAUUCCGAGUGUAGAGGUGAAAUUCGUAGAUAUUCGGAAGAACACCAGUGGCGAAGGCGACUGACUGGACAAGUAUUGACGCUGAGGUACGAAAGCGUGGGGAGCAAACAGGAUUAGAUACCCCCGUAGUCCCUGAGCGGGCUGGCAAGGCGCAU
rnacentral:rRNA from 1 species